rnacentral:rRNA from 1 species
AGCUCCAAUAGCGUAUAUUAAAGUUGUUGCAGUUAAAAAGCUCGUAGUUGGAUCUCGAGAGUCUGGCGCUUGUUCUCGCCAACAGUGCGUAGCAACGUAGCGUUCGACCUUUGUCUCCACAUUAUAGCGUUUUGUCCUUCGUUGGCCAGAGCGUUGGGGUGUGGACGUUUACUUUGAAGAAAUUAGAGUGUUCAAAGCAAGCAUUUUCGCUCGAAUAAUGGUGCAUGGAAUAAUGGAAUAUGACCGUCGUCUUAUUUUGUUGGUUUGAAAGAUCUACGGUAAUGAUUAAGAGGGACGGACGGGGGCGUUCGUAUUAAGCCGUUAGAGGUGAAAUUCUUGGAUCGGCUUAAGACGCACUACAGCGAAAGCAUUCGCCAAGAACGUUUUCAUUA